AACGAACGCUGGCGGCAGGCUUAACACAUGCAAGUCGAACGCCCCGCAAGGGGAGUGGCGCGCGGGUGAGUACCGCGUGGAUAUCUGCCUUUUGGUUCGGAAUAACCCCGGGAAACUGGGGCUAAUACCGGAUGGUUCCUACGGGAUAAAGAUUUAUCGCCAAAGGAUGAGUCCGCGUACGAUUAGCUAGUUGGUGAGGUAAUGGCUCACCAAGGCGACGAUCGUUAGCUGGUCUGAGAGGACGAUCAGCCACACUGGGACUGAGACACGGCCCAGACUCCUACGGGAGGCAGCAGUGGGGAAUAUUGGACAAUGGGGGCAACCCUGAUCCAGCCAUGCCGCGUGAGUGAUGAAGGCCGUCGGGUUGUAAAGCUCUUUUGGCGGGGACGAUGAUGACGGUACCCGCAGAAUAAGCCCCGGCUAACUUCGUG
rnacentral:rRNA from 1 species